rnacentral:piRNA from 1 species
UGAACUUUCAUCAAAGAAGCACACAGAG